rnacentral:piRNA from 1 species
CACUGUCUCACAGUCUCAUGUACC